rfam:Picea glauca, whole genome shotgun sequence.
AUUCCAUAACAUUUUCCCCUUCAAGCAAUAUCACAGACAACCUUCCAUCCAAAGUCAACAAAAUUGAAACACAUUUUUUAGAGUUGUUGGUGCCUCAUCCUAUAACUAACGGAAACGUUAGGAAAUCCAGAGACAUCGUUGGGGGCCCCGGGAAGAGUUAUCUUUUCUUUUUAACAACUUUCCCACCCUGAAAUUGGCUCAACCGGAGAUAGGGUCCAGUAGCUGGAAGAGCAUCUCACAUAUUGCGGUGUCUGGUGUGCCCUCGAUGACCCUUGAAAAUAUGGAGGACCGAGUACCAUCCAUGCCCGGUCGUACUCAUAACCACAUUAGGUAUCCAAGGUGAACAACCUCUGGUAAAUAGAACAAUGUAGGUAAGGGAAGUCGAAAAAACAGAUCUGUAACUUCAGGAAAAGGAUUGGCUCUGAGGGCUGGGCCUAGGGGUCUGCAUCCUCAACCCGUGGGUUGUCAGCAAUCUGCCCGUGGGACUGUCAUUGAUUAAUGCUACCUCCUUUUGAAUGGUAGUGCAACUAAUUAAUGCUACCUCCUUUUGAAUGGU